UUUUUUUUUUUUUUUUCUCUCCAUCUCUCCUCUACUGCUUCCACGACUUUUUACAACAGUAAAGAGAGCAGCGUCAUAUUCUCUUCCUGUCCUUUUUUCUCUCGUUAUUUUUUUUCUCUUCGACCCCCAUCUAUUGCCUCUGCGACCCUCCAUGACGAUAAUGAGAACAACGCCGCAUCCUCUUUGAAAGUUUUAAGGAGCCCAAGGAUCUAUCUAGAUUGUAUCUAUCACCUAGAGGGGGGUGAAUAGGUGUAACGGCCAAAAACCACAAAUCUCGAUUCAAUAAAAAUAAAUGCGGAAAAUAAAAAGUACACCGAGAUUUACGUGGGAAAACUCCAACUUGGAGAAAAACCCACGGGACCAACACGCGAAAAAAUAAUUCACUAAGAGAAAAGAUUACAAG
rnacentral:lncRNA from 1 species